rnacentral:rRNA from 1 species
UAGGACGGUCAUAGGGGCGUGGUUCCACCCGAUCCCAUUUCGAACUCGGAAGUUAAGCACGCCUCCGUUCCAUGUUGUACUGUACUUAUGUACGGGAAGCAUGGAAAGCUGUCCGCU